GAUGAACGCUGGCGGCGUGCCUAAUACAUGCAAGUCGAGCGAACAGACGAGGAGCUUGCUCCUCUGACGUUAGCGGCGGACGGGUGAGUAACACGUGGAUAACCUACCUAUAAGACUGGGAUAACUUCGGGAAACCGGAGCUAAUACCGGAUAACAUGUUGAACCGCAUGGUUCAACAGUGAAAGACGGUUUUGCUGUCACUUAUAGAUGGAUCCGCGCCGCAUUAGCUAGUUGGUAAGGUAACGGCUUACCAAGGCUACGAUGCGUAGCCGACCUGAGAGGGUGAUCGGCCACACUGGAACUGAGACACGGUCCAGACUCCUACGGGAGGCAGCAGUAGGGAAUCUUGCGCAAUGGGCGAAAGCCUGACGGAGCAACACCGCGUGGGUGAAGAAGGUCUUCGGAUCGUAAAACUCUGUUAUUGGGGAAGAACAAAUGUAUAAGUAACUAUGCACGUCUUGACGGUACCUAAACAGAAAGCCACGGCUAACUACGUG
rnacentral:rRNA from 1 species